rnacentral:rRNA from 1 species
GGAGACUCUGUGCGCGUGCAUAUCAAUAAGCGGAGGAAAAGAAACUAACAAGGAUUCCCUUAGUAACGGCGAGUGAAGCGGGAAGAGCUCAAAUUUGAAAUCUUCAAGGGUUUACCUUGACGAAUUGUAGUUUAAAGAAGUGUUUUCUGUUGAAGUUUUGGUAAAAGUUCUUUGGAAUAGGACAUCAUAGAGGGUGAGAAUCCCGUAUUUGACCAUUAUUUUCAGCUGUGUGAUACACUUUCAAAGAGUCGGACUGUUUGGGAAUGCAGUCCAAAAUGGGUGGUAAAUUUCAUCUAAAGCUAAAUAUUGGCGAGAGACCGAUAGCGAACAAGUACCGUGAGGGAAAGAUGAAAAGAACUUUGAAAAGAGAGUUAAACAGUACGUGAAAUUGUCAAAAGGGGAGCGUUUGACACCAGUGUUGUUUUCUCGAAAAUCAAUUAAAAAAGGCCGGAUUUUGUGUUGUAUUGACCUUAAAAGCUUUCUUCACUCUUUUCUUGUCUUUUUUAAUGCACUUUUCGUUUAACAAGUCAACAUCAGUUUCUUUUGUUGUAAAAGGGUCAUUGGAAGGUGGCUUUCUUUUCGGAGAAAGUGUUUAUAGCCUUUGAUCUCUGCAACCGGAGAGACUGAGGUCUGCAGCGUAGACUCUUCGGGGUUAGAUACAUUUGUGCUAAGCUAUAGCUUUUUAUAGACAACUUGUUGACUAUAUUUAGUCUUGUGGCUUACUCGCUUAUGCUAUUUUACCUACGCUUAGGAUGUUGACAGCAGUAUAGACUGU